UCAAAAAUGGCAAAGAUAAUGCUUCUGUUAGCAACCAUGUUUAUUUUUCUGAUGAUUUAUUCUCCGGGACUCGCCUACGGUGAUAACCGGCUCGUUAGAGGAAUGAAGAAAAUGAGAGAGGAGUUGCCAUUUCUGGAGAAGAAAGUCGGAUUUUUGCAUGGCAUACAUAAACAUGGAAGUUUUAGACAACACAGAAAAGAGUUAAGGGAGAAAUGCAAUCCCAAAUUGGAAGCAGAAGUGGAUGAUACAAGGCCAACAGCCCCAGGGCAUAGCCCAGGUAUAGGACAUCAUGGAUAAUUGGAUUUUCACUUUGAAGAAAAAAAUUCUGAAUUUCAAGCUUUUGUUAUUGUCAAGAAUAAGAGAUCAUGUAAAUUUGUGGGUUUUCAAGUUGAAUUUAUUUUGUUUGGACUAAAAUAAUUAGUGUGACUUGCU
rnacentral:lncRNA from 1 species